AGGAAGGAGAACUACUAAAUAUCUUCUACGAGGCCAGCAUUACCCCAAUACCAAAACCAGACAAAGACACUAUUAAAAAAAACAGCCGAUAGUCCUCAGCAUAAAGCACAAAGGUCCAGGACAGCAAUGUAGAAAUGCUGCUCAUGGUAUACACACCAUGCAAUAGGAAAACACAGUAGUUUUUAGUCCUAUACCAAAACCCUGUAAACCAGGAAAUCAAACGUAAAAAACCUGGACCCUUAUUUUAUUUAAAUACCUGAAUCUGAAUUACAUAGAGGUGGCAGAAUAAGCAAUGGUUCAGAUACAGGUGAUCAAUGGCUGAUUUUGGCUUCCUAAGUCAGUCACUGUGCAAGAGAAAUUCUGAUGUUGACUUUGCCAAGAGUGGUCAACCUCUGGCUCCUGGCUCCUGGCUCCUGGCUCCUGUAACUGGAAGGGCCCCAAAUACUGAAUAAGGCAGAAAUGAUGACUACAAUGGACACUUCUAUUAGCUUUUUAUUUACACGAACUUUCAUAGAACCAGGAUAUUCACAUAUAAAAAUGGAAAUGGAUAUUGAUCCCAAGCCAGGAGGAAGACAUUGUUCCAAGAGGUGACUUACAGACUUUCGCUGGGAACCAGAAAAUACCAGAGCAGAAUGCAUAUAAAGGAGUUCACGUAUGAUGGUGUUGGGACACUCACUGGACGUUAAAAGAUGUGUCCUCUGUAUGGAAGCCCCAAAAGCUGGGGUGCCAGGUGUGUGCACAAGCUCCUUUCCUGAGGUUCCUGCAGCCAUCCAGAGGAAGAGUGUGAACAGACACCUGCUAGCAUCCAACAUCUCUGGAGAGCACUGCAUUCAUCCCUUAAGUCCUGUGAUGUGUGAAUGUAAAACCUACUGGCCACCAGAUCUAGGCUAACAAGGUAUGUCCCACUGGUGGAAGCCACAAAAAUUGAGGCAGCCAACAUGUACACAAGCUCUUUUUUUAAUAGAUAAUGGAGCAAGACAGAGGGAGAGCACAAAG